UACAGAGGGGGCAAGCGUUAUCCGGAAUCAUUGGGCGUAAAGAGCGUGUAGGCGGUCCGGUAAGUCCGCUGUGAAAGUCGGGGGCUCAACCCUCGAAUGCCGGUGGAUACUGUCGGGCUAGAGUGCGGAAGAGGCGAGUGGAAUUCCUGGUGUAGCGGUGAAAUGCGCAGAUAUCAGGAGGAACACCUAUUGCGAAGGCA
rnacentral:rRNA from 1 species